GGGAAAUAGAAGGGUGGGAUGAAGAACACCUCUUGGAAAUAGAAGGGUGGGAUGAAGAACAGUCAGAGAGCAGACCAGGAGAGGGAUAACGAUUAAAGAAUUAAAAAAGAGAGAAAGAAAGAAAAAGAGAAGGAAAGACUUAAAUCAUAAUUUAAAAUAUUGAGAUCGCUCAGAUUUAUUCUAAAAUUACACACAAAGAUUAACAAAUUAAUAUAAAAUUGAUGUCCAGAGAACUAGGAAAUACCAGUUUAUAAAGGAAAAGAUAAUAGUUGUUAAUAUCUGGGUGAGUAAGUGAAAUUACUAGACAAAGAUGACUUAUAAAAAUGUUUGAACAGGCCGGGUGUGGUGGUGCACACCUUUAAUCCCAGCACUCAGAAGGCAGAGGCAGGUGGAUUUCUGAGUUCGAGGCCAGCCUGGUCCACAGAGUGAGUUCCAGGACAGCCAGGGCUAUACAGAGAAACCCUGUUUCAAAAAACCAAAAAAAAAAAAAAAGAAAAAGAAAGAAAUGUUUGAACAGCAAUUAUAUGAACUUUCUCAAAAUGACAAAAGUUUUAAUGAGGAAAUAGAAGACAAAAAAGGAAUCUAAUAGAAAAUUUAAAACUAAAAAAAAAAAAAGAAAAAAAGAAAUUUAAAACUAAAAUAUAAUAACCAAAGAAAAAAGGUACUUUGUAGGAUCAUCUAAUGGGAUAGAGUUAGCACAGGAAUCUAUGACCUUGAAAUCAUAUAAAUACAAAUUAUCAAGAUCUACAGAGAAACAAACAAACGGGGAGCCUCAGAGAUACGUAAAACAGAAACAAAAGGUCAACAUUUGUGCCAUUGUAGUUCCAGAAGAAGAGAAAUAGAAAUAUUAUUUAAACAAUAGCUGAAUGUUUGUCAUAUUUAUCAAAAGAAACUCACUGAACCUUAAACAGAAAAAUGUAAAGAAAUUCAUAUCCAGUUACUGUUGAUUAAUCAAUCAAUUAAAAUAUAAAACCAAAGGUCUAGAAAUUAAUCUGAGAAAAAUGAAACAGGAGUUUCCAGAAUUGCAAAGAUUAGAAGAUAUGACAAUGAGCUGCAGAUGUCACUCAAGUGAUUGUGUUUCACUGAGCAUGUACAAGGUCUUGCCUCCCACACACAGAGUAGCAAAAAUAGGAUAGAAACAAGAUUACACAACCAAAUAGCCAGUGGAAUAUUUUAACUUCACUCAUUUUUGAAUAAAUCAAUUUGCUUUUUAAGGUCUGUUAUAUUUAGAAGAGAGUACACACAUACACAUGACUCACUUAUGCAGGUGGGGAGAGCAAACAUUAUACGUAUGUCAUCUCAAUUGCUUAUCCACCCUACAUUUUUGCAAGAGGUGUCUAACUUGACUGGAAGCUUACUGUUUAGCCAGGCAGGCUGGUUAUUGAACCCUCAGGGUUGGCAUUUCUAUGCCCAUUCAGUGCUAGAGUUAAUAGGUCCUUGUUCUGGUGCAGCAAGUAUCUUAGCUACAUAGCCAUCAUCCCAGUUUCAAUUUUACUAUUAAUAAGGGAAAUACAAGUUAAACGAAAAUCUUGAAGAUUUUUGGGCAUUUUGGAUAUUAAUUCAUGAACGUCUGACAUGAAAGACCUCUUUAGAGGGUUAAAAUAACAACACAUUCUAACUUUGAGUUGGUCCAGUUAAAAUGUCAUGUGUUGCCAGGUGUGGUGGCACACACCUUUAGUCUUAGCACUUUGAGGCAGGCAGAUCUCUAAAUUCAAGGCUAGCUUGGUCUGCAAAGUAAGUUCCAGAACAGCUAGGGCUACACAGA
rnacentral:lncRNA from 1 species